AUGUUCAAAGUCAGCAGUUACGGAAAGGAAGCCUACGGGGGCGCCAACAGAGACUCGCCCCCCCCCCCCCCCCCCCCCCCACCCAAGUUGGUGCAGAGACGACUGCAGGAGAGUAGCCAGGAGGCUGAAUUCAUUCUUGCUGCCUCUUUUCAAUUCGCAGUUCAGUGUCAGCGUCUCAGUCUGGCAGAUCAGAAAGCUGCUGAGGAUGUUUGGCAUGAGUUUCCACAGGGAAGACUGGAGUCACUGAGAAGCCACAUUCUAAUCCCUUCAGGGCCUCCCAGUGGAAAAGCGACAGAACCCAAAGUCACCGUGGAAGUGGGACCCACGGCGGUAGGACACUGGCACCUGCCCACCUGGCCGCGUGAGAAUCGUGAAGUGACGACACCUCUGGAGGCCUCGAUUUCUCUGUCACCCUCAACACUAAGAGUUUUGGCCCUGCUCCUCUUGCUGAGUCAACGAGAAAGUCUUCAUGGAAAUGAAAACGGUAGAUUCUGAAAACGAUUGAAUUGCAGAUUAAGUUAAUUUAAAAUAAAUUAUAAUUAAGAAAGGAUG
rnacentral:lncRNA from 1 species